GACCGUUUUCGACUGCUUGGGCCGCUUGGGCGUUGGCACGUUAUUACUGCGUAAUACGAUAAUGACCCUGAGAUGUCGUUAUGUAAAGCUCCUUGUCCGGAAGAGGCGGUAACUAGUUGCCGAACGGUGAGAAUGUUUUAGUACACGUUCCGUCUUCACAAAACAGGACAAAGGACUAUGUAGUCUUAUUCAAGUGUAACUAUCAUGUAGAUACAUCAUUAAAUAAAGCGUGUGUGUGUUAUAGAGUUGUUGCUGAGUUCGCUUGACCGCCUUUGUUCAAGCCAAGGCCCACUUAACGGCCCUAGUGAUAGUCUCAUGCCUCAUGUUCCCCGGCUGGGGUGGCGCCCAAACAACUAUCAAGGAUCAAGGUGAGGCAACAUUAUUACCAACUUCUACAAAAUCGCUAGCAGGUGAUUCACCAGUGAGCAGUUGCGACCAUUUUUACCCUACGCAGAAGGCAGUUGCGGCCAGCUUUAAUCCAACGCGCGGCUCAGCGCACCACAAAAAGUUAACGGCGACAGGACAUUAUAUCCUGAACCCAUCAGGGAUUCUGAAAAUCGCACAGAUUGUGUCCAGCGUUGCAAGAAAGAUGGCUGAUUAAGGCAUACUAGAUCUUCCAGCUACCCAUGUAGUCGAACAAAAUGCCGAAGUGGGAGAAAAUACACACCACAAGGAACAUUAUAUCCUGACCCCAUCAGGGAUUCUGAAAAUCGCACAGAUUUUAAGUAACUCAUUUAUAGGUUUUCAUUAUUGUGAAGGAACAAAAUGAACUACUUUGAUUACACUUUCAUGGCAUAAGUGUUUAAUUAGUUAAGCACAGGGACAACUUUACCUUCUUUUACUUUGAUCUUUUGGUUCAGGUAUCAAAAGUGGCAAGGGAGAUGCCAGCCACAAGUGAAGAUCUAGAUCCCGAAGGGAGGAUAACUACCCCCUUCAGUAGUCUUUAUAUCAAGACCCUAUAUAGGGUCCUGAAUGGGCUACAGAUUGUACUGAAUAUCAUAGAGAUUGUGUCCAAGCGUUGCAAGAAAGAUGGCAGAUCAAGGCAUACUAGAUCUUCCAGCUAACAAUGUUGAACAAAACGCCGAAGUGGGGGAAAAUACCCACCACGAGGAACAUUAUAUCCUGACCCCAUCAGGGAUUCUGAAAAUGGCACAGGUUGUAACUCAUAUGAUCAUCUUGGGCACAACAGCCCAGUGUUGGGCCUUGGCCUCCCUUAUCAAGCCCCUCCAUUCCUCUGUAAGAAGUAAUUGCGCUGAGUUUCACAGGAAUCAGGGCUUUCGACAAGCACUUGCUAUCGUGCUGCGAAGAAAUCUAAGCUUCAUGCAUACCGAAUCUCCACGGUGCACGAGUUAAAAGAGCCAGAUUACGCGAAGAGAAUGGCGUAUUGUCAAUGGUUACAGACCCUUGUCCAGGAUAAUCUGGACAUUCUGGACUACACUUGGUUUUCGGACGAGGCAUGGUUCCAUCUUUCCGGAUACAUUAAUUCGCAAAAUUGUCGCAUUUGGGCAAGCAAGAAUCUCAAUGCGAUACACGAAGAACCCCCUUAUUCCAAGAAGAUUGGUGUUUGGUGUGGAAUUUCCUGGCGGCGCAUAAUUGGACCCAUCUUCUUCGACACGACAAUCACAACAGCAGCGUACCUAGAUAUCUUCCACUGCUUUGUGAAUCAACUGGACGAUGAGGAAUUAUCCAUCGGUUUUUCCAGCAGGAUGGAGCAACAGCACACACCUCGCGCACAAGCAUGGCCGAAAUCCAGUGUUUUUUUGGCGACCGUGUCAUUUCCAGGAGACUUUGGCCACCGCGCUCGCCCGAUCUAACGCCGCCUGAUUGUUUUUUGUGGGGACAUUUGAAAGCGUAAGUUUACACCAACAAACCGCGAACCAUAGAGGCUUUAAAAGCAAACAUAAGUGAGGCCAUCCAAGAAGUGACACCUGACGUACGGGCAAGGACUUUCCAAAACAUGGCGCGCCGAGUCCAGUGCUGUCUGGACGCAAAUGGUGGCCAUUUCUAGCACUUGUUAUGAUGUCACCAGACUUCACAUGAACUGAGGAUAAAGCUGAAGUUUCAGAAAAUUUACCCAGUGUCACAUCAUCUGAUAAAACUGAAGGAGACCUUAAAGCUGACUCAGAUGAAGAAGAGGAUGCCAAAGAGAAGGGGAAGUUGAAUCCCAAUUCUGGCAAUGGAUGUGACCUUCCAAACUGUAGGUGGACACAAACAUUAUCAGAGAUUGAGGAUGACACUCGAUGUGGCGUUAGUGCAAGAAAGAUGGCUGAUCAAGGCAUGCUUGUUCUGCCAGCUACCAUUGUAUUUGAACAAAGUGCCGAAGUUAGGGAAAAUACCCACCAUGAGGAACAUUAUAUCCUGACCCCAUGAGGGAUUCUGAAAAUCGCACAGAUUGUGUCAAGCGUUGCAAGAAAGAUGGUUGAUGAAGGUAUGCUUGAUCUGCCAGCUACCAAUGCAG